AUUGAACGCUGGCGGCAGGCCUAACACAUGCAAGUCGAACGAGUGGCGGACGGGUGAGUAAUGUCUGGGAAACUGCCUGAUGGAGGGGGAUAACUACUGGAAACGGUAGCUAAUACCGCAUACCAUCGGAUGUGCCCAAAUGGGAUUAGGUAGUUGGUGGGGUAAAGGCUCACCAAGCCGACGAUCCCUAGCUGGUCUGAGAGGAUGACCAGCCACACUGGAACUGAGACACGGCCCAGACUCCUACGGGAGGCAGCAGUGGGGAAUAUUGCACAAUGGGCGCAAGCCUGACGCAGCCAUGCCGCGUGAAUGAAGAAGGCCUUCGGGUUGUAAAGUACUUUCGGCGGGGAGGCGUUACCCGCAGAAGAAGCACCGGCUAACUCCGUGCCAGCAGCCGCGGUAAUAC
rnacentral:rRNA from 1 species